UCCUCCAGAGCAAACAGAGGUUUCCUUUUCUGCUGGUCUUGGUUUCUGGGAAGGGUCAGCUUCAAAAGGUACUGUUUAAGUUAUGAGGAAACAGCAGCGAACAAACUGGAAAUCUCUAUACUGUUGGAGCUUGCGCUCUUCAGGAGGCAG